rnacentral:rRNA from 1 species
AUUGAACGCUGGCGGCAUGCCUUACACAUGCAAGUCGAACGGUAACGGGCCUUCGGGUGCCGACGAGUGGCGAACGGGGGAGUAAUACAUCGGAACGUUCCCGAUCGUGGGGGAUAACGAGGCGAAAGCUUUGCUAAUACCGCAUACGAUCUACGGAUGAAAGCAGGGGACCGCAAGGCCUUGCGCGGACGGAGCGGCCGAUGGCGGAUUAGGUAGUUGGUGGGAUAAAAGCUUACCAAGCCGACGAUCUGUAGCUGGUCUGAGAGGAUGAUCAGCCACACUGGGACUGAGACACGGCCCAGACUCCUACGGGAGGCAGCAGUGGGGAAUUUUGGACAAUGGGCGCAAGCCUGAUCCAGCCAUGCCGCGUGCAGGAUGAAGGCCUUCGGGUUGUAAACUGCUUUUGUACGGAACGAAAAGCCUUCUUUUAAUACAGGAGGGUCAUGACGGUACCGUAAGAAUAAGCACCGGCUAACUACGUG